GGAUGUGAGGGUGAUCUGGCUGCAACAUCUGUCACCCCAUUGAUCUCCAGGGUUGAUUCAGCUGAUCUGGCUGGCUAGGUGGAUGUCCCCUUCCUCCUUCACUGUUCCACGUGUGUCCCUCCUUAAGCUGGGUGCUUGAUGGCAUGGCCUUCCCUCAAUAGAGACAGAUUGGUCUUUGGUCGAAGGUAUAUGAGUAGCUGUGACCCCCUGCUAGAAUCGAUAAACAAGCUCUCAAGGUCCAUUUGUAGGAGAACAUAGGUAGUCAAGCUUCCAAGACUCCAUUCAGUAAGGCGCUGCACGCAGCAGUCUGCCUUUAAAA
ensembl:misc_RNA 7SK 7SK RNA